GGUUAAGCGACUAAGCGUACACGGUGGAUGCCCUGGCAGUCAGAGGCGAUGAAGGACGUGCUAAUCUGCGAUAAGCGUCGGUGAGGUGAUAUGAACCGUUAUAACCGGCGAUUUCCGAAUGGGGAAACCCAGUGUGUUUCGACACACUAUCAUUAACUGAAUCCAUAGGUUAAUGAGGCGAACCGGGGGAACUGAAACAUCUAAGUACCCCGAGGAAAAGAAAUCAACCGAGAUUCCCCCAGUAGCGGCGAGCGAACGGGGAGGAGCCCAGAGCCUGAAUCAGUGUGUGUGUUAGUGGAAGCGUCUGGAAAGGCGCGCGAUACAGGGUGACAGCCCCGUACACAAAAAUGCACAUAUUGUGAGCUCGAUGAGUAGGGCGGGACACGUGGUAUCCUGUCUGAAUAUGGGGGGACCAUCCUCCAAGGCUAAAUACUCCUGACUGACCGAUAGUGAACCAGUACCGU
rnacentral:rRNA from 1 species